GUGCGCAUUUUGAUAUACUCCGGAGUUAUGCUGUGUUUAUGGUUCACCGAGCUACUCGCAAAAGAGGGUCGGGUUCCACCUAUAUUUGGUGUUAUGCUGUGUAUGGCGUUAUGUUGUGAUGUGAUAUGUGACGGGGAUACGGAGAUUUGAAACUUUCUGGUGUUAUGCUGUGUUAUGGCGCCAUCGACGGGUGGGCGACCAUAUUCUUCUGUACCCUAUGCAUUACUUACAUAUUUUUGAAAGUACAGAUGCACAGUUUGGUGAUCUACCCAUUUAGGACACCCUCUUCUGCUGUUUGGAGUGCUCUUCUCAUUUCAGAGCACACAUUUUGGUAUAUAUUCGUUCGCUAUGUAUAUAUGUAUUUGUUCAGGGGCACGGCGGGGCCCUGUCCCGCCAUAUGAUUCGGUUUGUCUGUUUAGAGGUCUAUAGACGUAUUUGUGGGUGUGUGUGCCUACUUCUGUACGGAUGUGUUUGCAUGACUCUAUUCGUUAUGGCAGCCUCGUCGGCGUGCAUUUUGUA